rnacentral:rRNA from 1 species
CAGCAGCCGCGGUAAAACGAAGGGUGCAAGCGUUAAUCGGAAUUACUGGGCGUAAAGCGUGCGUAGGCGGUUUGUUAAGUCUGUUGUGAAAUCCCCGGGCUCAACCUGGGAAUGGCAAUGGAUACUGGCAAGCUAGAGUGUGUCAGAGGAUGGUGGAAUUCCCGGUGUAGCGGUGAAAUGCGUAGAGAUCGGGAGGAACAUCAGUGGCGAAGGCGGCCAUCUGGGACAACACUGACGCUGAGGCACGAGAGCGUGGGGAGCAAACAGGAUUAGAUACCCGCGUAGUCCCUGUCUCUUAUAC